ensembl:snRNA U6 U6 spliceosomal RNA
GUGCUCACUUCAGCAGCACAUACACUAAAAUCAUAACAAUUCAAAAGGACUAGCAUGCCCCUGCAGAAGGAUGACACACAUUUGCGGUGUUACAUAUUUUC